rnacentral:rRNA from 1 species
UACGUAGGGACCAAGCGUUGUUCGGAUUUACUGGGCGUAAAGGGCGCGUAGGCGGCAAUUCAAGCCAUCUGUGAAAUCUCCGGGCUUAACCCGGAACGGUCAGAUGAUACUGCUUUGCUAGAGUGCGGAAGGGGCAAUCGGAAUUCUUGGUGUAGCGGUGAAAUGCGUAGAUAUCAAGAGGAACACCUGAGGUGAAGACGGGUUGCUGGGCCGACACUGACGCUGAUAGCGCGAAAGCCAGGGGAGCAAACAGG